rnacentral:lncRNA from 1 species
GAUCUUCUCCUUCUCUUGGGUGAGCACGGCCUGGAUGUUGGGAUCCUCCUCCUAAGGGGGCUCAGCAGACUCUGGUUGACUGUGACAGCGGUGAUGCCUCCCAUGCCACUGGUCCCACCAUAGCCUCUGCCCAGGCCAGCCCGGAAACUGCUGCUGCCCACUAGGGAGAAGCUCGAAGAGCUGAUGCAGGCACUGGGCCCACUCAUGUAGGAGCGGCAUAGCAGCAUUUUUACAAUAAUCCAACAACCCUGUUGUUCAUUAAUAGCAUAAUUGAGAAAUAUAUUGUGAUAUAUUUAUACGAUGGAAACUAUUCAGCAAUGGGAAUGCCUGAACUACAGCACUAUGAAUCUUAUAGAUUGAGUACAUGAAGCAAGAUACAAAUCACUCCAUUUAUAUAAAUGUAAAAAAAAAAAAAAAAAAAAAAAAAAAAAAAAAACCUAGGCAGCAUAGCCAAACACUGUCUGUACAAAAAUGUAAAAUAAAAUUAGUUAGGUAUGGUAGAGCAUGAGUCCUAGCUACUCAGGAGGCUGAGGUGUGUGGAUCACUUGAACCAGGCUGCAGUGAGUCAUGACAUGACAGAGGGAGACCCUGUCUACUGUCUGUCCCUAUAGAAAAAGAAAAAAACAGGAUGGCCCAAGGAAAUGCAUCAGUGCAGAGGGACAGAAACAGCAGUGUGGCCUGGGAAAGUGGGACAGGCCAGGUGCGGUGGCUCACGCCUGUAAUCCCAACACUUUGGGAGGCCGAGGCGGGCGGAUCAUGAGGUCAGGAGAUUGAGACCAUCCUGGCUAACACAGUGAAACCCCGUCUCUGCUAAAAAUACAAAAAAAAAAAAAAAAAAAA